UUUCACUACAUUUGUUUGCUUUUUUAGCUCACCUGACCCGAAGGGACAAGUGAGCUUAUGCCAUCACUUGGCGUCCGUCGUCGUCCGUCGUCCGUCGUCUGUCGUCGUCUGUCGUCGUCUGUCGUCGUAAACUAUUUCAAGAAUCUUCUCCUCUGAAACUACUGGGCCAAAUACUUUCAAACUUUAACUGAAUGUUCCUUAGGGUAUCUAGUUUGUAAAUUGUAUCCGAAGUUGUGAUCUAUCAACAAACAUGGUCGCCAUUGCUAAAAAUAGAACAUAGGGGUCAAAUUCAGUUUUUGGCUUAUAACUCAAAAACCAAAGC
rnacentral:lncRNA from 1 species